UACGAAGGGGGCUAGCGUUGUUCGGAAUCACUGGGCGUAAAGGGCGCGUAGGCGGCUUUAUAAGUCGGGGGUGAAAGCCUGUGGCUCAACCACAGAAUUGCCUUCGAUACUGUAGAGCUUGAGACCGGAAGAGGUAAGUGGAACUGCGAGUGUAGAGGUGAAAUUCGUAGAUAUUCGCAAGAACACCAGUGGCGAAAGCGGCUUCCUGGUCCAGCACCGACGUUCAGGCACGAAAGCGUGGGGAGCAAACAGG
rnacentral:rRNA from 1 species